AACAGCUGAUACCUCUUACAGAACCCGUUGAGCUCUGCUAUAAAAAUCAAAAGACCACAAUACCGAUACUAGUGUCAGAACAAACACCUAUUGCACUUUUGGGCAGAGAUGCUUUGUGUAGGUUGAAGUGCACAAUACGAUGCACACCAGACGGCUGUCUGGUGGAUGUACCAAGUGAUAGUUGGCAACAACUAUUUAUGAAAACAGAGACUGAAGCGUCUGCAGUGUUUUGGAUUGGGAACCUUAGCCAGGAGUAUCUAGAGGCAGCAAAGCUGUGGGAGAAAUUUGUUGUGGCCAAUAUGACUGAGGUGAAGUUACCUGAGUAUCCAUACCACUGUACACUGAAGUAUUUUAAAGAUGCUACACAGACCAACUCAGCAGACUGGUUGAAGCAACAACCAAAACAAGUCCAGCUUAGCUCCAGUUCAAUAAUUUGGGGCCACAAGGAGCAACUAUGAAGAUAGAGAGUAAUGAAUAUCUUGAAAAAGAACAUGACAUCGAGGAAAGCAUUCCUCACGUGACUGAAGGAAUCAGAGAGAUAUUCAAAACUACGGUCAGACUUGCAAGCCCUUCCACUUCAGAAAGCAGAUGUAGAGUAUUGGACUGAUGGGUCGUGUUAUCAGAAUGGACACAAAUUGAGCGCUGGCUAUGCAGUUGUAAAAGCUGAAGGGGAUGGAUUUGUUGUUGAAAAGGCAAAAACAGUGCAACAACCAGCAUCUGCACAGCUGGUUGAACUUGUAGGACUAACUGAGGCAUGUCUUUUGGCAGAGGGGAAACGAGUGACAAUUUACACAGACUCUGCAUAUGCACAUAAUGUUUGUCACUUGUUCGGAGCACUGUGGAAAAAUCGAGGAUUUAAGAAAACACAUGGGUCUCCUAUACAGCAUCAUGCCCAGAUAACCAAAUUGCUGCAUGAAAUGAUGAAGCCGAACGAAAUAGCAAUAGCUAAGUGUGCAGCACAUAAAGGGGACAUGUCAAGAGUGACUCAGGGCAACAGAGCAGCUGAUGAGGUUGCAAAAGCUGUUCCAGGGGCAGAUAAAGAAGGCAAAGUUCUUCUGGUCACUCAUGAAUUAGACUUGGAAGAUAAAAUCACCCUCGAAGACAUAGUCUCAAUGCAAAAAGCAGCCUCUGAAAUAGACAAACAGUUAUGGCGUGACCGAGGUGCAACACAGGAUGCCACAGGUUUGUGGAGGAAUCAUGAAGGGCUGAUGGUGGCACCUCCAAACCUUCUUAGAUUAAUGAUUCAGGAGGCACAUGGGUUAGCACAUGUUGCAAGGGGGGAAGUUAAAAGAAACAUCAUAAAGGAGUAGGUUUCUGGACACCACAUUUGCGUGAGCAAAUUGAUUUAUCAUAAGUAGAUGUACAAUUUGUCUAAAAAACAAUUCUUGAAAGUGUAACAGUUGAAGCUUGUCUAACCAAGCGAAAAGAUGCUCAGUAUGUUGCCAAGUUCUUGUGUAGAGAAGUCAUAAGAGAUGGGGACUUUAAGAUUAAAUAUUCAAAGAUAACGGAGAAGAGUUUGUGGAUAAAACAGUGAAAUUGAUUUGAAAAAACUAACAAUUGAACAAUGUUUGGGAGCUGUGUACCAUCCGCAAAGCCAAGGUAUCUGUGAAAAAAAAUGAAUGGGGUGAUGAAAAAACCCUCUGGGUAAGAUUGGCCGGCACACAGGUUUACAUUUUGAUGAAGUAAAGGGGAGGUAUUACUUAGGGGGAAAUAUGAUAAACAUGUCAAAAAUGUAUGUUUUUGGCAAGAUACUGCUUAAUUUUUUCAUUCUCAGGACAGCAGUUGGGGAGACCAGCUAAAGAAAGGUGGUUCUCCAGAGAUCUAAACAGCCUUAAUGGACCCACACCUCCCAACAAGGACAAUCAAGCAUGGACAAUAUAAACAGAAACUGAAACCUGACAGAGGAUGUGAACAAGAACAUUGCAUUGGAUACACAAACGGAGAACACCCAUGGACAAGAACACUACACAAGCAGCCAAAGAUGUUAAGGAGCAAAAAUUAUUAUUCAUUUUAAUCAUAGAGUUUGUUAAUGUAUAAUCUAUGCUAUGAAUGUCAAUUUAUCUUUCUGUGUUGUAUUUUAAUGUUCAUGCAAAUACCAAACAGCAUACGAAGAAUGGAAAGUAUGAAAGGGGGGUUAGUUAUUCACAGCAUGAGUUGUAAAGUGAAUGUAUUGGGAUCUCAGGUGGUUUCUUUGUUUUCUCGUUGUAGGAUCAGUGAUGUUAGGCAGGGAUAGGUCCACUGGAAGUUCGAUGGGAUGACCAGACACAACAUUUUCUUUUAAAAUUUAUUAUAAAACUGUCCUAGUAUUAUUAUUUUCUGUUCUGUUGAAUAUGACUUGUAUUUUUUACUGUCUACUGAAAAUAAACUAUAGCUACAUUUCUCUCAGCCUCACGAGUAGAAAAACAAAGAUUAUCUUGAUGUAGUUUUUUGUCUGUCCUUGCAGUCCUGUUUAAUUUACAUUCUGCCCUGUUGGUUAAGAGUUGCGAUCAUCUUCUUGUCUUCAGGUUUCUUUCACGUCCCUCGCUGCCUCUACAUGUGUGAGCGUCUGCUGGAUGAUCUUCUGGGAAAUAAGGACUAAAAACAUAAUAAAUGUUAUAAAGUGAGAUUAAAUCUGAUCUCCUGGUCUGUUCCAGAUUAAAGAGUCAUGUUAUAAAGUGAGAUUGCACUGAUUGUCCAAUAUAUAGAAGCCUUAUGCAGACAUGCACCUCCUGAAUAAUCCUGC